rnacentral:rRNA from 1 species
UACUAAGGGUGCAAGCGUUAUUCGGAGUUACUGGGCGUAAAGAGCGCGUAGGCGGUUUUUUAAGUCAUUUGUUACAUCUCCCGGCUUAACCGGGAACAUGCAGGUGAAACUGGAGAACUAGAGUGUAAGAGAGAGAAGUGGAAUUCUCGGAGUAGCGGUAAAAUGCGUAGAUCUCGAGAGGAACACUGGAGGCGAAGGCGGCUUCUUGGCUUACAACUGACGCUCAAGUGCGAAAGCGUGGGGAGCAAACAGG